GAUGAACGCUGGCGGCGUGCCUAAUACAUGCAAGUCGAGCGAACAGACGAGGAGCUUGCUCCUCUGACGUUAGCGGCGGACGGGUGAGUAACACGUGGAUAACCUACCUAUAAGACUGGGAUAACUUCGGGAAACCGGAGCUAAUACCGGAUAAUAUAUUGAACCGCAUGGUUCAAUAGUGAAAGACGGUUUUGCUGUCACUUAUAGAUGGAUCCGCGCCGCAUUAGCUAGUUGGUAAGGUAACGGCUUACCAAGGCAACGCUGCGUAGCCGACCUGAGAGGGUGAUCGGCCACACUGGAACUGAGACACGGUCCAGACUCCUACGGGAGGCAGCAGUAGGGAAUCUUCCGCAAUGGGCGAAAGCCUGACGGAGCAACGCCGCGUGAGUGAUGAAGGUCUUCGGAUCGUAAAGCUCUGUUAUUAGGGAAGAACAAAUGUGUAAGUAACUCUGCACGUCUUGACGGUACCUAAUCAGAAAGCCACGGCUAACUACGUG
rnacentral:rRNA from 1 species